rnacentral:rRNA from 1 species
GAUGAACGCUGGCGGCGUGCCUAAUACAUGCAAGUCGAACGGGGAGUAGCAAUACUCUUAGUGGCGAACGGGUGAGUAACGCGUUGGUACCUGCCCCGAAGCGGGGGAUAACGGACCGAAAGGUCCGCUAAUACCCCAUGUGCUCGGUAACGAGUAAAGGUGAAAACCACUUUGGGAGGGGCCUGCGUCCCAUCAGCUAGUUGGUAAGGUAACGGCUUACCAAGGCGAUGACGGGUAGGGGACCUGAGAGGGUGGCCCCCCACAAUGGAACUGAAACACGGUCCAUACACCUACGGGUGGCAGAAGUAGGGAAUAUUGGUAAUGGGCGCAAGCCUGAACCAGCAACGCCGCGUGUGCGAUGACGGCCUUCGGGUUGUAAAGCACUUUUGACUGGGACGAGGAAGGACGGUACCGGUCGAAUCAGCCUCGGCUAACUACGUG